AAAAGAGACAUUGAUAGUCACGAAGAAAGAACAAACUGAUUACAUGUUCAUCGUUCGUGGAUCUCUUUCUCCAUCUGAAAUUAAAUCGAUCAAUCUCCGGAGAGAGAGAAUUUUUAUCGAUAUGGCAUCAAGAUGGGGAUUCACAGGGAACAAAGGAAGGUGUUACGAUUUUUGGACAGAUUUCAAUGAAUGUAUGUCCAAUUGUAGAGAACCUGAAGAUUUUGCUCUUCUAAGAAAAGAUUAUCCUGAGUGUAUUCAUCAUGCUAAAGAGGUUCGUUUGUUGUAUGGAUCUGAUUACUGAAUUUCAAAUUAACAUGAAAUUUUAAUGAAAACCCUAGCUUUCAAUUUAGAGGUAACCUGUUGGGUCUUUUUUCUUAUAUUAAUGUACCAAUUAAGUUUUCUAGAUGUGAUUAGCUGUUCCGAUGACAUGUUCUAUGUUGGUGGUGAUUUGAGCUGAAAAUAACAUGAAUUUUGGUUAGCCUCUUGGAAGCUCGGAUUUUAGGAAUCGUUUGAUGUAUAUCAGGUGUUUAAGAUUUGUAAUAAGAUUUGUAAUAUUGUUACAAUUUAGGGUAUUAGGUUUACGAUUUCUGGAUAGAUUUCAGUGAACGGAACGUAUCAUCCACACUCCAGAAUGAUGUCAUAAGAGGUCACAUUAUCACUUAUAUGCUGCUCGGGAUCAGUAAAGUUUGAUAUCAGGAGCACUCAAAGCAGGGUGUAUAAGAACAGAUUCAAAGACAUGAUAGUCCAAUACCGAACUUACUGGAGGAGGGAAAGAUGCAUCAGUUAUAGCUUUGAAGAAGGCCCCAAAACUUGAGAAUGCUAAUACCCAGAAAGGAAAGAUGUGAAGGAUUAAGGAACUCCUUGCAUGAGUGAUGGAUUGUAUCUCCCGUGACUACAAUAUGCUGAAGCAAAAUAAUUCACUGAUAUGUUCGACUUGAAAAUAGAAGCUACGAUUUGAGGUUGCAAUUGAUUUAAGACUCACUCUAAUAGGUUUACUUUUAUGGGUCCCUUGAUACAAAGCCAUGAAACUGGGUCCUGGCCAUUUCAGACAUCCAACUUAACACUAUCAUCUGUUUGGAAUACUUGGGUUGUUGGGUUUAUCAUCAUAUCGGUGUUUACCCGUGAUUGAUUGGAACUGGACUUGAAUUGAUUAUAUUGGAAAUGUUCCAUUCAAAUCAUUUUCUACCGUGAUUAGAAAGAACUUUUUUCCUAAGUAAAUGACCCUCCAAGGCCCAAGCAUCUAUUUGGAACAAUGUUAAAGAUUACAUUCCACACAACUUAAACUGACUGCUGAUGCUCCUCUUGCUCCUGGAUUUCUGCCGUUGAAGCCAAAUUUCAUGGUGUACAAGUCAAAGAGGUGCAAUUAUAGAAAGAUAGUCAAAUGAUGCAGGUUCCGAUGAGAAAAAACCUUCAAAACUAAAUAAGUUUGAAUAACCUUAAAGAAAGAAUAUACUAGGUUGUACUGGAUUCCCAAUGGCAGUGGAUAAAGGCUCGCUCUCGAUAGGUAAUGCUGCACGGUUGGUUCACUUUUGACUAGGUGUGAAGAAGACAAUCCAACAUGGUUAGAGAUUCAAAGUGACUGAUAAUUUUUUUAUGGCGAAUAAUGGUUAAAACUCUUGAAGUCUUAAAUCUACUCUUAGCACUCCCUCACCUUCUGUAUUUCGUCUUUGGAAACCUAUAACCAAGUGAAACCUCAUAUACCAAUGGUUAAAAUGAUGCCGUCUCCCAAACAAAAAUGGUCAUCUGCAUCAUCAAGGGAAUAUUCAUGCAGAAAACUCGGGCAAUUCCUAUCUUAUCCCAGAGGUAUUUUUCGUGUUCAUGUUAUCUUUUUUCUUAGAUUUUAGAUUUUAAGUUUGAGAAAUGACGACCCAGGUAAUGUACCUGCAUUGAAUCCCGGUGUGCUAAAAGAUAUGCCCAAUUCUCGAGAUACUAGGUUAGGUUUUUGUUCCUCAACUCUCAUAUCAAUUUAUUAUAAUAAUGUAUCCGGAACUUAGAUUGAUGUUUUACUGUUCUUAGUUGGUGAAACCAUUUGAUGGAGAUUGAAAUGGAAAAGAUGAAAGUAAAUCAAUUUUAUAUGUUCAGCAA